rnacentral:rRNA from 1 species
GUGGGGAAUAUUGCGCAAUGGGGGAAACCCUGACGCAGCGACGCCGCGUGAAGGAUGAAGGCCUUCGGGUUGUAAACUUCUUUUGGAGGGGACGAAUAAAUUGACGGUACCCUCAGAAAAAGCCACGGCUAACUACGUGCCAGCAGCCGCGGUAAUACGUAGGUGGCGAGCGUUACUCGGAAUUACUAGGCGUAAAGCGUAUGUAGGCGGUUGUAUAAGUCUAUGGUGAAAUUUCCUGGCUCAACUGGGAAGGGACAUAGAUACUGUAUGGCUUGAGUGUUGGAGGGGGAGACGGAAUUCCUGGUGUAGCGGUGAAAUGCGUAGAUAUCAGGAGGAACACCGAUGGCGAAAGCAGUCUCCUGGCCAAAUACUGACGCUGAGGUACGAAAGCUAGGGUAGCAAACAGGAUUAGAUACCCGGGUAGUCC